AUGAACGCUAGCGACAGGCUUAACACAUGCAAGUCGAGGGGCAGCACAGGUAGCAAUACCGGGUGGCGACCGGCGCACGGGUGAGUAACGCGUAUGCAACUUGCCUAUCAGAGGGGGAUAACCCGGCGAAAGUCGGACUAAUACCGCAUGAAGCAGGGGCCCCGCAUGGGGAUAUUUGCUAAAGAUUCAUCGCUGAUAGAUAGGCAUGCGUUCCAUUAGGCAGUUGGCGGGGUAACGGCCCACCAAACCGACGAUGGAUAGGGGUUCUGAGAGGAAGGUCCCCCACAUUGGUACUGAGACACGGACCAAACUCCUACGGGAGGCAGCAGUGAGGAAUAUUGGUCAAUGGGCGUAAGCCUGAACCAGCCAAGUCGCGUGAGGGAUGAAGGUUCUAUGGAUCGUAAACCUCUUUUAUAAGGGAAUAAAGUGCGGGACGUGUCCCGUUUUGUAUGUACCUUAUGAAUAAGGAUCGGCUAACUCCGUGCCAGCAGCCGCGGUAAUACGGAGGAUCCGAGCGUUAUCCGGAUUUAUUGGGUUUAAAGGGUGCGUAGGCGGCCUUUUAAGUCAGCGGUGAAAGUCUGUGGCUCAACCAUAGAAUUGCCGUUGAAACUGGGGGGCUUGAGUAUGUUUGAGGCAGGCGGAAUGCGUGGUGUAGCGGUGAAAUGCAUAGAAAUCACGCAGAACCCCGAUUGCGAAGGCAGCCUGCCAAGCCAUUACUGACGCUGAUGCACGAAAGCGUGGGGAUCAAACAGGAUUAGAUACCCUGGUAGUCCACGCAGUAAACGAUGAUCACUAGCUGUUUGCGAUACACUGUAAGCGGCACAGCGAAAGCGUUAAGUGAUCCACCUGGGGAGUACGCCGGCAACGGUGAAACUCAAAGGAAUUGACGGGGGCCCGCACAAGCGGAGGAACAUGUGGUUUAAUUCGAUGAUACGCGAGGAACCUUACCCGGGUUUGAACGCAUUCGGACCGAGGUGGAAACACCUUUUCUAGCAAUAGCCGUUUGCGAGGUGCUGCAUGGUUGUCGUCAGCUCGUGCCGUGAGGUGUCGGCUUAAGUGCCAUAACGAGCGCAACCCUUGCCACUAGUUACUAACAGGUAAAGCUGAGGACUCUGGUGGGACUGCCAGCGUAAGCUGCGAGGAAGGCGGGGAUGACGUCAAAUCAGCACGGCCCUUACAUCCGGGGCGACACACGUGUUACAAUGGCGUGGACAAAGGGAGGCCACCUGGCGACAGGGAGCGAAUCCCCAAACCACGUCUCAGUUCGGAUCGGAGUCUGCAACCCGACUCCGUGAAGCUGGAUUCGCUAGUAAUCGCGCAUCAGCCAUGGCGCGGUGAAUACGUUCCCGGGCCUUGUACACACCGCCCGUCAAGCCAUGGGAGCCGGGGGUACCUGAAGUCCGUAACCGAAAGGAUCGGCCUAGGGUAAAACUAGUGACUGGGGCU
rnacentral:rRNA from 1 species